UACGUAGGGGGCAAGCGUUGUCCGGAAUCAUUGGGCGUAAAGCGCGUGUAGGCGGCUCGAUAAGUCUGCUGUGAAAGUCCAGGGCUCAACCCUGGAAUGCCGGUGGAAACUGUCGAGCUAGAGUCCGGAAGAGGCGAGUGGAAUUCCCGGUGUAGCGGUGAAAUGCGCAGAUAUCGGGAAGAACACCCGUGGCGAAGGCGGCUCUCUGGGACGGUACUGACGCUGAGACGCGAAAGCGUGGGGAGCGAACAGG
rnacentral:rRNA from 1 species